rnacentral:rRNA from 1 species
GUAGGUGGCAAGCGUUGUCCGGAAUUAUUGGGCGUAAAGCGCGCGCAGGCGGUUCUUUAAGUCUGAUGUGAAAGCCCACGGCUCAACCGUGGAGGGUCAUUGGAAACUGAGAACUUGAGUACAGAAGAGGAAAGCGGAAUUCCACGUGUAGCGGUGAAAUGCGUAGAGAUGUGGAGGAACACCAGUGACGAAGGCGGCUUUCUGGUCUGUAACUGACGCUGGGGCGCGAAAGCGUGGGGAGCAAACAGGGAUUAGAUACCCUGGUAGUCCACGCCGUAAACGAUGAGUGCUAAGUGUUAGGGGGUUUCCCGCCCCUUAGUGCUGCAGCUAACGCAUUAAGCACUCCGCCUGGGGAGUACGGCCGCAAGGCUG